rnacentral:rRNA from 1 species
CCUACGGGAGGCAGCAGUGAGGAAUAUUGGUCAAUGGCCGUAAGUCUGAACCAGCCCAGUAGCGUGAGGGAAGACUGCCCUAUGGGUUGUAAACCUCUUUUAUGCGGGGGUAAAGGUUUCCACGUGUGGAUUUUUUCAGGUACCUCAUGAAUAAGGACCGGCUAAUUCCGUGCCAGCAGCCGCGGUAAUACGGAAGGUCCGGGCGUUAUCCGGAUAUAUUUGGUUUAAAGGGAGCGUAGGCCGGUCUUUAAGCGUGCCGUGAAAUUUUGUGGCUCAACCAUGAGAGUGCGGCGCGAACUGGAGACCUUGAGUGCGCGGAAGGCAGGCGGAAUUCGUGGUGGAGCGGUGAAAUGCUUAGAUAUCACGAAGAACCCCGAUUGCGAAGGCAGCCUGCCGCAGCGUUACUGACGCUGAAGCUCGAAAGCGCGGGUAUCGAACAGGAUUAGAUACCCCUGUAGUC